CUAAUUUAAUAGGACAUACGUAAUGGCAGCCAAAGUUUUAGCACUGCAAGUCGACCAUGUGGUUUCGCCUACCACGCCACGAGAUGGACUCAUGAUGAAACCUAUUAAAAGAUAAGUUACCAUCCCUGGCGCAUGCGUUUCCAGAACUAUCAUGGGACAUCCCCAAACUAAUUUUUACUCACUUGUGGCCAAUUUCAUGAGCCAUUACAUAGACCGAAUUGAAACCUGUGGACGGUGCAAACACCAGUGACAGUGGAUAGACCUUUGUUAUUUCGAAAGUAGUCUACAAUCAUCUUCUUUAAGCAAAGAAAUCAUGCCCAGACAGCAACAGCGCCAUAUCCCAAUGUUCUGCAUCAUUGUCUGAGGGCUUGUUAAGUUUUGUUUGGAAAGCGCAAAACGAAUCAAGCAUUUGGCCACGUUCACCACCACUAUGUAGUGUGGCUGCUGGCUUUGCAUGGAAUUCCAUGUAAACUAUCGACAAGUCAACCCGCUGACCCAGACUAGGGAGGCAAGAACCAACUCACGAAGCUUAACAUACUCUUGUGCCCCAAAAUAUGGCAUAAACAAAGCCAAGGCUGCUGAAUCCAUAAAGAUUCCCAGUUCAAUAACUUUGUUUGGAGCAGAUUUUUCAGUAAUUGAUUUUUCUAAGGCAUUUUUUCCUGUGUGUAGAUUUUGUUUUCCAAAUCGGUUAUUGUCAAUGGUAUCUGCCUUUUACCUCUGGUUCCCGAGUUACAUUCAUGGCCCUCAUACGAUUAGCUUGCUUGAUGGGCUUGAAAAUGGGGUAGUGGAUCAAUCGGCCGAACGAUGUGAGCGCCAAUCAUAAUAGUUUCGUCCUCGUUAUCAGGAGGAAGGUGGAGCAUCUGACGAAGUCUCGAAGGUACUGGUCUGAUCUCCAAGGAUUUUCCUCCAUCGAUUAAUGACUGAGAGCUGCCACUACCUCACCAUCAGUGUGGAGAAAAUGACAUUCUGUGCCUCUGGGAUGUUCUUUCACAAUUUCCUCGCCCAGUAAUCCACCGCUUCGUACGACCGUCUUCAUAUUUGGUGCCAUAAGAAAGGUGUUAGGUCGCAUCUUCAGGUUAUAUGUUCUAAAAAUUUUAUGGAUGAAUCUGAUGGCUGCAAUUUGGAUUACAUUUUUCAGCAAAGUUUCAUACUUUCCAUUGGCAAAGAAAGAAUAACGAGCAUGGGUAUCUUGUGGGCUGCUUCUCUUCGUGUUACGAUUAUCGCCGUUCGGGAAAGGACGUGUAGGGGCGGACACUCUAUGACGGCGAAUGUAGAUUACUUCAUAUUCGUCAACUUGCGAUGAAUUGACAACCCCAAAUAUUUGACCCAACUCGUCUACACUCAUCAAGCUGUGCAACGUGCGAAAUAACUAGAAAGUCAGGUGUUGAGGUCUUACGCCAAUGAAGUAUUUACCCCCACCUUAAACGCAAGAGGUUUAGCUGGACUGGAAUGGACAUCUAAUGGCUACAAGAUAAAUGUGACCGGCUACCAGACUCUGGCGAACUCGUCGUAUCUGCAUCAUCGUGUUGGUCGAACAGGCGGCGUGGGAAAUGUUGGAAAAUCAAUAAGCUUCUUUGACGAACAAAAACAUGGCAGAUACCUGAAUACAGGACGGAAUUGUUUUUUUUAAGGAAACAGUUAAUUAGAAUACUUUAUUUUACACUUUUCUGCUGCUUAUCCGGUUUAUAUUUUUUUUUACUGUAUCGCAUACCUACAUAACUAUCAAAAUUUCAAACUAUUUAUGUAAGGACAGUUAUGGCAUAAAGGUAGCAUGCUGUCCUGCAGCGCGAAUGG